GAUGAACGCUGGCGGCGUGCCUAAUACAUGCAAGUCGAGCGAACGGACGAGAAGCUUGCUUCUCUGAUGUUAGCGGCGGACGGGUGAGUAACACGUGGAUAACCUACCUAUAAGACUGGGAUAACUUCGGGAAACCGUAGCUAAUACCGGAUAAUAUUUUGAACCGCAUGGUUCAAAAGUGAAAGACGGUCUUGCUGUCACUUAUAGAUGGAUCCGCGCUGCAUUAGCUAGUUGGUAAGGUAACGGCUUACCAAGGCAACGAUGCAUAGCCGACCUGAGAGGGUGAUCGGCCACACUGGAGCUGAGACACGGUCCAGACUACUACGGGAGGCAGCAGUAGGGAAUCUUCCGCAAUGGGCGAAAGCCUGACGGAGCAACGCCGCGUGAGUGAUGAAGGUCUUCGGAUCGUAAAACUCUGUUAUUAGGGAAGAACAGAUGUGUAAGUAACUGUGCACAUCUUGACGGUACCUAAUCAGAAAGCCACGGCUAACUACGUG
rnacentral:rRNA from 1 species